rnacentral:lncRNA from 1 species
AAAAUCAUCACCAAACUUCUAAAUAAAAACCCAAAACACUUCUAAUAUUAAACAUUGAAAUAAAUGUGGGCUAUACAUACAUUUAAGAUUAAUUAAAACAAAUGAGAUAAUUAUUUACCCAAUUUUUGGUGAAUCAUUGAGUGAUGGCAGUUGUAGUAGUCAUGGGUUAAAUCAAAGAAUAAAUAUUUGCAAAACGAAAAUUGUAAGGAGUACCUCCUACCACCACACAACUCAAAAACAAACAAAAACCAACACAGCAGGCUCUCUGAGUGCUUUCAUGCUGCAUCGUUUAUUGUUAUGCAUUUGUAUGAUUACCAUAUACUUUAUGACAUUUUUACUCUGAAAUAAUUUAUAUUAAUUAAUUUAUUUAUUCAUUUUCUAAACCACUUAUUCAGGGUCAGAGUGGCCGGAGCCUAUCCCAGCAGCUCAGCGAGCAAGGCAGAAACCCACCCUGGACAGGAUGCCAUCCCAUGGAAUAUCUAGAGAGCUGGAAAAGCAUCACUUCUGGGUGUGUCUGUGAGGGGGUUUCCAGAGGAGAUUGGCAUGAGUCAGUGAACUGUGUGGAGCAGAUUUGCCCUCAAUGUCAGCAGGCAUCAUCCAAUCAGCUGGGAGCCUGGAUAGAACAGAAGACAGAGAAAAGGUUGACAUAAAUGUGUCCAGAAGCAGGACCUGAAGCAAGAGCACUUUUAGAAGGAAUCUGCGAUUCUUGGAACUGGUGUGCAGUAUUCACUUGAGAUCUCUGAGCUCGCCACGUGCAUGCCUUGUCUUUUCUGACCUGGUGAAUCUUCUCUUAGGCUGAGUCUCUUUUUGGUAGAGGCUUUUUGACUUUCUUCAGGAUUUGGUUUGGUACUAAGGCAGCCUUAAAUAAAGGAACUUGCAUCCCUCUUAAAACUAUGGAAGUUUUGGGGGUUUGUUUGUUUGUUUUGCAAACGCUUUCUGGUGUAAAGAUAAGAGUACUCUAGUUUUUACAGAAUUUAUAUUGUUUCUCAGGCAUGACUUUUCUGGUGAAUUCACAUUGGUUCUGGACACCUAGUUUAAUGUUUUGUUUGGUCUGCAUACAUGGGUUAAAGUUUUUGUGAACACUCUGAUUUUGGUUUAGUUACACAUGUCUGUAAGUAACUUGGAUCUUCUUUUCUCUAGCUUAUUUCUGAAAAGCUUCUGAGAGCGAAAAUAUACAUCCUAAAUGGCGGACACAGAAUGACUAAUUUAAAAAGCGAAUACCUGAAACACUAGUCCAAAUUCCUGACAUUCUCUGACAGGAUUUAUGGGAUUUUCUUUGCUCUUGAGAGAUUAAUAAGAAAGAAAGUGAGAUUCUCAAACAUUAAGGCAUGCCAGGUUUUCUGAGACUCCAGCUGGCUACAUAUGAUGGCCUGUUCUCAUGCACAUUUUUAAACUAAUGAGCAAACUUUCCUUCAUGUCAAGGAAAAUUCAGAGCUCAAUGGCCAUUAUUCAAACUCUCUAAGCUUGUUAAAAAUCUACAACCAACCAUAGAGUUAACAUGCAGAGCUUUCUAAGUUCUCAAUCUCUCUAUUUUUCCUUCUGGCUAUUUUGAAUCUGCUAAUUUUCUACUAGUGUUGAGAUAAACUCACUGCUUAUGGCACACCAGACAAGAUUUAAAAAAAAAAGUUUCAAAGAUUUUUUUUUAAAUUAAUGGCUGUACAAAUUACAACAGCUCCAUGGCAACAAACAACCUACACAUCUUUUGGGAAUUAGGUUUUUUGACUUAGCAAUUGCUUGGAGUAACAGAAUAGUUAAAUGAAUAUUUAUAUUCUAAAAGAAAGGAGGCUGGGUGUGGUGUCUCACGCCUAUAAUCCCAGCACUUUGGGAGGCCAAGGUGGGCAGAUCACAAGGUCAGGAGUUCAAGACCAGCCUGGCCAAAGAGACCAGCGUGACUAACAUGGUGAAACCUUGUCUCUACUAAGAAUACAAAAAUUAGCCAGGUGUGGGGGCAGGUGCCUGUAAUCCCAGCUACUUGGGAGGCUGAGGCAGGAGAAUUGCUUGAACCCAGGAGGUGAAAGUUGCAGUCAGCUGAGAUUGUGCCAUUGCACUCCAGCCUGGGCGACAGAGUGAGACUUUGAGUCAAAAGGAGGAAAGAAGGAAGGAGGAAAGGAAGGAAGGAAGAAAGGAAGGAAGGAAGGAGAAAGAAGGAGGGGAAGGAAGGAAGGAAGGAAAAUAGAUACAUAUCUAUAACAGACUCUCAGAUCAAACAGGUCAAGAUAUUAAACUUAGAUCAAUAAUACAAAGUAUCUCCAGCAUAAAAAAUUCCUUUGUUUGCCACUCAGGAGCCAGAAAAAAAGCAAAUAAAUAAAACUGCAAGUAGCUUUUUAAAAAUGCUUCUCUACUCAUAUUGACUAGUCAAACAUAUUGGCAAACAUGAGAUAGAUUUGUUAUUCAUUCAAGGACACUUGAAGGUUUGGAUUUUCUUGUACAGUUCAUCCAAUACUAGCUAAAAUGUAUAUUGAAAUUUUAAACAUUGAACAUGUAACCCUAAACUUAACUGCAACUGAAAGGAAGAAAAAAAAAAGAGUUUUGUUUUUUUUUUUUAACCCAAACUGUUUUAUCCAAAAUUUUGUUCCACAGCUUUCAUUAGAUUACCUAUCAGGGCAAAUAAAGUUUAGCAAUAUGAACAGGUUCUAUUUUGUCAGAAAUACAGUUUGGAUUCAAAUGUCUUUAAUCAAUUGCUAUGUUAAUGUUACUGUUUUACUGUCUCAAGACUAAAAUUUCAAAAUAAAAGCUAGGGAACCUGCUUCUGUCUAUAUAUUUGUGUUGUCUGUAUGUUUUUAUGUUGUGUGUAGGUGAUAUUUUCUUACUACAAUAUAUGAAAGAGCUCUGAUUAACUUAAAAGAAAAAAGUGCCUAAAUAUUUUAUCAAAAAUAUAACAAACCCAAAUAUUUUUAAUGUGACUUAAGUAAAUAUUUGAUAAAUUAUUUGGUUUUAAAUUUGUUGAUAAAGUAAAAAUAGAAAUGUCUUCAGAAUUGUCAAUAUACAUUUUUGCCUAGAUUUACUGGUCAAUUUUAUAUUUGUCUUUGAUAGAUGUUUUAAAGUGUCAGGGUGUGACACAAAGCUUGUAAAACUAUAAAUUUAGCCUAGAAACAGAAUGACCUUGUUUAAUAUUGUUGAUAUAAUGAAAACAGCUGUAUGUUUUGAGGUAUUGGGAAAAUAUUCAUUUAUUUAACUUUAAUAUUUUUACUUAGGUGAACACCUAAUAAUCAUAGGUUAUGAAAAUAUUUAACAGGAAAACAACUUAAAACAUCUACUAGCUUUGUCUAAUAUCUCAGUUUUCAUAAGUUAAACUGUUUAAAAUACAGUGGUUAAAUUGAAACGGGAUCAACAUAUAUAAAUAAACUUUUUACAUAAUUUAAAGUCUUAAUGUUAUGUUAAAUAAAGUGAUAGAUACUCAUUAAAUAUCUAAGUCAUUUUUAAAUAAGAUAAAAUACUUGAUAUGUGAGAGAUGGUUUAUAAUUUUUUGCCUCCUAAGUUUUCACUAGAAAUUAAGGUUACUAAGAGUUUAACAUUUUAAUCAAUAUAUAAUUCUAUAUAUAAAGUAUAUCAAAAGAUGUA